GAUGAACGCUGGCGGCGUGCCUAAUACAUGCAAGUCGAGCGAAUGGAUUAAGAGCUUGCUCUUAUGAAGUUAGCGGCGGACGGGUGAGUAACACGUGGGUAACCUGCCCAUAAGACUGGGAUAACUCCGGGAAACCGGGGCCAAUACCGGAUAACAUUUUGAACCGCAUGGUUCGAAAUUGAAAGGCGGCUUCGGCUGUCACUUAUGGAUGGACCCGCGUCGCAGUAGCUAGUUGGUGAGGUAACGGCUCACCAAGGCAACGAUGCGUAGCCGACCUGAGAGGUUGAUCGGCCACAUUGGGACUGAGACACGGCCCAGACUCCUACGGGAGGCAGCAGUAGGGAAUCUUCCGCAAUGGACGAAAGUCUGACGGAGCAACGCCGCGUGAGUGAUGAAGGCUUUCGGGUCGUAAAACUCUGUUGUUAGGGAAGAACAAGUGCUAGUUGAAUAAGCUGGCACCUUGACGGUACCUAACCAGAAAGCCACGGCUAACUACGUGCCAGCAGCCGCGGUAA
rnacentral:rRNA from 1 species